CCUACGGGUGGCUGCAGUGGGGAAUAUUGCACAAUGGGCGCAAGCCUGAUGCAGCCAUGCCGCGUGUGUGAAGAAGGCCUUCGGGUUGUAAAGCACUUUCAGCGGGGAGGAAGGCGUUAAGGUUAAUAACCUUGGCGAUUGACGUUACCCGCAGAAGAAGCACCGGCUAACUCCGUGCCAGCAGCCGCGGUAAUACGGAGGGUGCAAGCGUUAAUCGGAAUUACUGGGCGUAAAGCGCACGCAGGCGGUCUGUCAAGUCGGAUGUGAAAUCCCCGGGCUCAACCUGGGAACUGCAUUCGAAACUGGCAGGCUAGAGUCUUGUAGAGGGGGGUAGAAUUCCAGGUGUAGGGUGAAAUGCGUAGAGAUCUGGAGGAAUACCGGUGGCGAAGGCGGCCCCCUGGACAAAGACUGACGCUCAGGUGCGAAAGCGUGGGGAGCAAACAGGAUUAGAUACCCGGGUAGUC
rnacentral:rRNA from 1 species